CUUACACCAGAAUUACAGUAAACUUUGGCCAGCUUGACUUCUUUAGGAUGAAAUUUGGCUUCUUAAAGCUGAAGUUGCAACAAUUUCCCUCAAAGGAAACUCACAGCAGAGAUUCAGGGACCGAAUCGUGAGAUUUCGGCUGACACUGCAUGCAACCUGCAGCAGACAUGGAAUGGUGCAUAAGAGGAUCUGGUUUUUAUCUCAGUUAAACAAAACUAGGUUUUCAUUGAGGAACAGCAACGCCGCAGCUGCUUUCAGUCAAACUUUCUGAGUUCAAUUUUACCUCUUUGAUUUCGUGCAAAUAAUGCAGGAAAACGAGAACACUUUAUUAUUUCUAGCCAAUGUGAAAUGCAGUAUGUUUGAGCAAAGAGAACAAAAGAGAGCUAAACACAAGUGCAUCAAUGAAAUAAAACCAGAUUGCAAAUUCUAUUCUACUCACAGGAUAAUUGAGAUGUUUUAUUAUUAUUUUAAAACGUGAUGAAUUAAAAAAACGUAGUUUGUGUCGAGUCAAGUUUAUUUGUGUAGCAUAUUUCAACAACAACAGGGCAGUUCAAAUACAGUAACCAAUUAUGAAACUGGUUAACAGUCUUUAGAUGAUAUGAACAUGGAUGAUUCAGUUUCAACAGAUUUAACUUCUUGUUCUUGUUACUUACACAACACUGGUUGUUGCGCACAUUUAGGACGCUCAGAAAAUUAUGACCAAACCAAGUGCAAACUCAGUAGAAAUACAAACUCUUUCGGUUCCCUCCUCUGCAGUUUAGCAAUGGUUGGUCAAUGCUUUAGGUACAGUCUAAUUCCUGGCCGUCCAUUGAUAAGUUUCAGGGAAUUUCAACAGCAAAGCACAGUUACAAAUGCUAAGUAUGUGAUUUUUUUGUAUGUAGAAUUGUGUAUAAUAUCCAAAUUAAGUAAGUUGAUGUUAUGUUACAAAAUGUAAGAAAUACUUCAAGAUAUUUGACAAAAAGACACUGCUUAUUUUAUAAAAACACCUUUAACAUAAUAAUUUUGCUAAAACUAUUACUACAAAUAUCUACACUAAAAUGGCACCAGGG